GUCCACGCCGUAAACGAUGGAUACUAGCUGUUCGGAGCAAUCUGAGUGGCUAAGCGAAAGUGAUAAGUAUCCCACCUGGGGAGUACGUUCGCAAGAAUGAAACUCAAAGGAAUUGACGGGGGCCCGCACAAGCGGUGGAGCAUGUGGUUUAAUUCGAUGAUACGCGAGGAACCUUACCAGGGCUUAAAUGUAGAUUGACCGUUUUGGAAACAGAACUUUCGCAAGACAAUUUACAAGGUGCUGCAUGGUUGUCGU
rnacentral:rRNA from 1 species